AUGUUGGCUGGCUUUCACAACAUGGGCUAUAAACAAGAGCAGCGAAGUUGCUACAAAUACGCAAGGCCUAUACAGGGGACCGGUCUGUCAAAAUCUUCAAGCACCUUUGCCAUCCUGCUAAAUGGGAAACCUGGCAUGUGGUUUCGUCGGCGGAUGUUGCGGCAGGGGGGUCCGCUGUCGCCAUAUCUUUUCAUCUUAGUUGUUGAUGUGCUUCAACGCAUGAUCAUUCAAGCUUCUAAUGUUGGACUUCUAUCCCACCCCUUGGACAACAACCUCCCUUGCCCGGUUCUGCAAUACGCUGACGAUCUGUUGAUGAUCCUCCCGACAGUCGCUGAACAACUUCAUCAUUUAAAACUUCUACCCAACCAGUUCAUCGAGGCAAUUGGCCUCUCAAUCAAUUUCCACAAAAGUACUUUUGCCUCAAUCCACGUCGACCCAGAUCUCUCCAUUACUCUUGCUGCGAUCCUACGAUGCCCGAUGGUCUCUUUCCCCCAAUUGUACCUUGUCUUCCCCUCUCGACCUCCAAGUUAA
rnacentral:rRNA from 1 species